rnacentral:lncRNA from 1 species
GCACAUGUUGAUGUGGUUGAUGUGUAAAAAAGCCAACUCAUACAAGGUUCUGGGCUUCAUCUUUAUAAAAUAGUCCGGAAAUUUCAGAGAAAGAUGAAUCUGAUUUUCCAAGAGAGGACAGCUGUGGACUAUCUGGCACUGAAGACUAACAGGACAAAAUAAAGAAAACAACAGCUGGAGAAAAUUCACUGGCAAUGGAAUAUUUAAAAUUAGAGCUUGCUUAGUGUGCUGCUUCUGAUCAGUACUUGAUCCCACUUCGUGCUUUCAUGUUAAUUGGCCCAAUUGGACUCUACAGUUGGAAGGUGAAAACUUACUAUUUCAACUUGAGUCAUGUAUGUAUUCUUAUCAUAUACUUCUUAAAGGUACUAUUUUUUUUCUUCUGAUAGUCACCACACCAAGCACUUCCAGCCACCCUGCCACAGACUUCCUUUGUAAUCACUGUUGAAGGACAUGAUGUUUUUAUGACUUCCCGAAAUGAAAACCCUAUCUUGUUUUU